CAUUCCGGAGGUCCCGCUGCAAACGCCCGUAUAAAAAUAAAAGUAAAAAGAAUUCAUUCGGGAAAAGGCUAUUUGCAUUUUGCGCGUUCAGUUUGCAUUCCCUCCAAAAUUUUCUAAAACACGUCUUCAACUCGUCAUAUGCUUCUAUGGGAAUUAGGGCAACAACAAGAUCGACCCACACGAUCGAUAGGAUUCGCUUCACUAGUGACUGAUCUUCCCGAAUUUCUACUCGGGGAAGCCUUUCGUUGAAUGCCCUUGGCUUUCAGGCUUCAUAUGAAUUGUGUAAUGUUCUAAGGAAGAGAGAUUAAAAUAACAUGCAACAUCAUGGUUGUAGUUAUGCGUGCACAAUCUUGGUCAGCUUUCCCAGUUACAUCCCUACUGCAAAAAAAUAUCAUAGCCCAUAUAUUGCUUGAGGUUACAUUGACAAGCCUGUUUUCCUGCCCUUAAGGUUAUCGAGGUACUUUUGGUAUGUAUAUACAAGUCAGAACCAUCUUCGGUUGGAACAUUCCAGACUAAGAGUGUGUGGGCUAGAAAACAAGGAAAUUUCAGCAUAAAGCUAUGGAAUAAGCAAGUUAUUCCCAGUAAGUUCGUAGGGAAGGAAUAAGAGAAGCUUUACUUACCACCAUAGCUUUGUAAUAAGCAGUUCCGGGUAUGCUCGUAGGGAAAGAAUUAUAGCCCUUUUCUACUAUGGUAUAGUGUUUGUUGAGCUCCUCUUUGUACUUAGCAUCCAGCUGACCAAAUAUAGCAAGAAUGCCAACUUCAAAGGAGAACUGUAACAUGUCCGUGAGAUUCACGUGUUAGACUGAUCUAUUGAUUAAAUCUUGAGGUGAGCCCAUUUGAAGAUAUAAUUAAGUAAUUAAAAGCUUAUGCUCUUUUAA